UUUCUGAAACAUCGAUGUUUUCGUCAAAAAGCAUCGAUGUUAGCCAUCGAUGUUGUGAUUCUAAAAAUAUCGAUUCAUCGAUGUCACUUUCAACGAUGUUUUAUGUCGAUGUUUUUUUUCAAAUUUUACUCCACAUCUUUGCAGCACUUUUUCUCGGUAUUAAUGCGAAAACAUCUGCUACGGAGAAUUCGUUGGUUGAAUGUGCACUUGAAUAAUACGGAGAAUUCGUUGGUUGAAUGUGCACUUGAAUAAUACUGAGAAUUCGCUUAUGAAUUAAUGCGAAAUAAGUUUUACAAAAAAUCGAAAAUACAUUUUGUGUGACAGUCUAUUUCGUGCUAUGUGUGUUAGAAGUUGUUUUUGAGCGUUUAAUAUAAGUGUUGUUUCGAAUUCAUCUGUUAUCAAUCACAACUUUAUUACAGAUUUUCAAAAUGCUGCCUUCAAAAUUAAAAAGCAGGGUCUGGAGCUUCUUUAUAAGAAAUUCAGAUGCUUCCGCCACAUGCAAAAUCUGCAGCAAGAAAUUAAAAACAUCAGGUAACACGUCGAAUCUUCGCUGUCACGUUGAGAAUGUACAUAAAAAGGUAUUACUCGAUCAAGUUGAUGAUGCAGAAUGCUCCUCCAAAACUACGCCGCACUCGGAACCAAAACAGCGAAAAAUUUCUGAUAUAAUGAACAUAACACCAACCGCUGGGACGACAGCGUCAAUAUUGUCCAAUUGGAAUUUAAGUACUAUUAAUUUUUCAAAGUAAGUCCUCCUUUCAUGGAUUUUAACUAAAUAUCGACAGCUUUCAUGACAAUCUACCUAGUAUUGGAUGGAUUGGAGAAAUCGACUGCUUAUUAUACUACCCAGCAUGGCAUUUCAUCUAAAUUGCACUACUCAGGUGAGGAUUUCCAAUGUCAAUAGCCAACUGAGCAACAACCUUCAUGGAAACGUGUAUACACCAAUCAGGCUAAAGUCAAAUACAUACGAAUAAAUUUAAAACGAUUCGAAGUAAACAAGCAUUUGUCACGUUCACGUGCCCUAUGUUUUUUCUCUUUACUUUACUUUCGAGUCAUACACUUGGUUGCAGACCAGUCAGAGCACACGAAGUGAAUAACGCAUGUGAACAACAUCCGGGAACGCAGCAUUUUCAACUAAUAUGACGUUUUACAUACACCUACACAUGCUUCACUCAUGCUCAUGUAUAUAUGCCAAUAGAUAUGCGCAAGUUUACCUUCUUACAUACUUUUUACAAUAACACGUUGCUGUCACAUGUUACUAAUUGGAACGUCUGAAUAAAAAAAUAUGAAACGUUGGCUGGAUUGUAUGAAAACAAACAUUCCACAUACACUGUUCGUACACCUAUAUUUAAAUAGUGUUUUAUAUAAACAACAUAUAAGUGAGUAUUCUUAUCAUCGCAUUGUGGUGAGUUCAUUUCACGCGAUCACAUUAGAUAACACUAUCACACAUGUUUGUAAAUAUGCCAGCGAAAUUAGAAAUUUCUAAAGUAUUAGGUGCUGAAACCUGCGCCAAAGCAACAGUUAUGAAAUGCCAAUUUUGUCAGGUAAUUAUUGUUAAAAAUAUACACACACAUAUCAGCACUUAUUUAUAAAUAUGCCUCUAUAUACUAAAUGAGCGCCUAUACAACAAACGCUUACCAACACACCAUGGGUCCAAUGACAAAUGACGUGUAUAUAAAGAUAAAAAUUUCCGAGCUUUUACAAUAAAAAAAGGUUCUUUUUCGAAAACAGUUCAGUUAUUUAUUGAUUUUAUUUUGUGAAAAAUUAUAAAUUUAAAUACAUAAGAGACAAAAAACUAAAACUAUUCUUUCAAAAACAAACUUUUUUUAUUAUUCAUUCAUUGAUGGUAACGGCUUAAAUUCAGGGUAUGUACAUACAUACAUAAUUUGUAAUCUGUUCGAUAAACAGACGAUACAUUAAAGAUAAAAUAGUCUGUCAGAGAGUUCUUCGGAUGUAGUCCUCCUUAUACUUUGACCGAUUAGAUAUGCCAUUUUAU